rnacentral:lncRNA from 1 species
CGGGCUGAAAAUCGUUGUCCGUUUUUCGGUUCUUUGCGGUAAGUGCCGAAAUUUGGUCUCAUUUUCAAAAAUAAUCAUAUUUGUUAUCAAAUAUAAUUUACCCGCAUAUUUCUUCAAUUUCAACCAUACUUUGAAGUUUUUACACCUCAAAAUCAUAAAACGGCGAAAUUGUGUCCACGGCGAAUAUGAGCGCCCCACUCU